rnacentral:misc_RNA from 1 species
UUUCCGUAGGUGAACCUGCGGAAGGAUCAUUACCGAGUGAGGGGCUUAGGCCCCGACUCCCACCCUUUGCUCCCCCACCUUGUUGCUUUGGCGGGCCCGCGGGCCCGACCGCCCGCCGCCGGCUUCGGCUGACGCGCGCCCGCCGGAGGACCAUGAAACCCGACCCUGUCACGGUAGUCUGAGCGAAGUUUAAAUGAAGCAAAACUUUCAACAACGGAUCUCUUGGCUCUGGCAUCGAUGAAGAACGCAGC